rnacentral:rRNA from 1 species
GUCUUUUUGAUUAUAAUUUAAAGUCUAACCUGCCCAAUGAGGAGUUAAAUGGCCGCGGGUAUUUUGACCGUGCAAAGGUAGCAUAAUCAUUAGUUUUUUAAUUGAAAGCUGGUAUGAAUGGUUGGACGAGAAAACAACUGUCUCAAUUUAAUUUAAAAUAGAAUUUUAUUUAUAAGUUAAAAAGCUUAUAUAAGUUUAAAAGACGAGAAGACCCUAUAGAAUUUUAUAUAAUAUUAUAUAUAUUAUUUUUAGAAUUUUAUUUAUAUAUAUAUAUUAUUAUAUUUUGUUGGGGUGAUGGAAAAAUUUAAUGAACUUUUUUUAUAUUUGAACAUUAAUGUAUGAUUGAAUGAUCCGUUAUUUACGAUUAUAAGAUUAAAUUACCUUAGGGAUAACAGCGUAAUUUUUUUUUAGAGUUCUUAUCGAAAAAAGAGUUUGCGACCUCGAUGUUGG